CUUUGCGGAGGAGCUGGUUAUAUGAGCCCAUUUGAGUGUCACAGGUGUAAACAGGCCUCAUCAUUAAAUGUUUUAUGUAGACCUUAUUCCAUCUGUGAUCCAAAUAAAUUGGAUAUUCUGUCUUUCCUACUUGAACACACUUUCACCUGAGCAAAAUGUUUUGUUACCAUAGCAUUUUAUUUUUCAAACUGUGAGAUAUGUUUUCUGUUUUAUCACUGGAAUGUUCCGCUGUGUUACAGAGAUUUUCCAUUGCCCACACAUCGAAAGAGAAUCGUCCCACAAACAUAAUUCCCCUCAUUGUCAAACCAUUGCCAAAAUGAUAUGAUAGAGAAGCAUUAAACUCCAACCUGUCUUUAUCUCAAAACAUCUUCAUCUACAGCAGGUCAACAUACAGAGCCUGUUGAUUUGUGACACCACAAGCAUGGAACAGUCUGGGCCGUGAUCAGCUCAGGCAGAAUUACGCUUGAGACGGAAGUCUCCCUGAGUCUCCCUCUGCCCUGCAGUCAGUCCAUUCUUCCAGAAACAGCCAACUGACAACAUCCUCUUCCAUCAUAAUCAUUUUCUUAACAUACAUUCAUCUGUCUCAUCAUUUGAUCUAUCAUUAAAUAUCUAAAACACAUUGUGGUUGUGGCGUGGUCCUUGCUAGUGUGUGUUGUGUUAAAUAAAAAUAAAAACUGAAUGGGAGAAUUUUCCAAACAUCAACAGCCCCAUAAUUAAUUGGAAAUAGAACAAAGACAACAUAUCAAAGGUUAAACCAGAAAAAUGUAAAUGCCUAUUUUGAAAAUUUUGCUCGCAACACACAAAAAACAGGAACAGUGGCAACAAAAGACAGAAAAAGGUGAGAAAUGCUAAAGAAAACAACUGGUUGUACAUCUUCCAGUUAAUUAGGUUGACUAGCAACAGGUUAGUGACAUGACUGGGUAUAAAAAAAGCAUCCCAGAGAGUGUAUCUGAAGUAAGGGUGUGGAGGGGUUAACCACUUCACACCAGUGAAAUACUGUGCUCAAAAACAUAUAGACCUCCUUCUGCACCCUCUGAUGUUUGGUUGCUACUAUGAAUUCAAUUGCAAACAGGAAUUAAAUUAUUUUACUAGAUGACUUUAAUAAAAAUUGGACCAACAAAUCCUCCAAAGAAAAAAACAUUUUUGGAAAUUUGAACCAAACUCAGCUAAUUGGAGAGCCCACUCGUGUCACACCUACAACUCAGUUUUUUUAGACUGGAUACUGGUCUCACAUUGAAACAGAUUUAUAAAAGCAGGUGUUGUGUAUGACUGUUUCAUUAGUGACCAUUUCAUAGUAUAAUGUAUCUGGAAAAUUAAAUUACCCAAACUACCACCCAAAUUUAUUAGAAUUAGGAAAUAUAAGAAAAUGAAUGUUGAUCAGUUCAUUAAUGACAAUCAAUUGGGAUAGGUUCCAAUUAAUUCCAAAUGUACAAGAUGCAUGAGACUUUGUAUAUCCAGAAUUUAUUUAAGCUUUUGAUAAACAUGCUCCCCUGAAAUCUACUAAAGUCAAGGGAGCGCAUCUACCAUGAUAAUUCUCUGACCUUACACAGUUAUAUAGACAGAGAGAUAAUGCAUGGUCCACAUUUCGCAAAACGAAGUAUCCGGCUGACCGGCUUGGUCCUCUUCUUUAGUCUAUUUUUGUCUAUGACCUCCUCUCAAUCUCCUCAGAGUGUUGUGUUUAGCUCUAUGCCGAUGAUACAGUAAUAUACACAUCUAAAAUUAAUGUAGAACAAACAGAAACAGCUCUUCAAUCUGACUUCAACACCAUUCAACAAUGGCUCUAACAAAUAAAUUACUGUUGAAUGAAAACAAAUCUCACUCAAUGAUCUUCGGAAAUCCCCAAAUCAUUUAAUCUAAAUCGAAAGGCCAAAACUGCAUUAUUACAUGUCUCGUAGAAAAACCAUUGUAGAAGGUUGAAAUGAGAUAAAUACCUUGAGAUGCAAAAAGCAGAGAUUAGAUUUAGAGGCCCCCAAACUGGAAACCCUCCUCCCUCCAGUUGCUCCUUGAGAGCCUGUCCAUGAAAAUCAUAAACAGAUCCGGUGACAAGGGGCAAACCAACAUGUCAGACUUUGUGCUGAGGAUGCGGACACAACUCCCGUUUUGGUCAUACAGGGACAGGAUGGCUCGUAGCAACGGCCCCAGGACCCCAUAUUCCCACAGUACCCCCAACAUGAUCCCCCAGGGGACACAGUCAUAAGCCUUUUCCAAGUCCACAAAACACAUGUAGACUGGAUGAGCGUGCCUCCCCAAGAAGCCCUGCGAGGGUAAAGACCUGGUCCACUGUCCCACAGCCAGGACGUAAUCCACAUUGUUCCUCCUGUAUCUGAGGUUUGAAAAUCAGUCAUAGCCUCCUUUCCAGCACCCUAGAGUAAACUUUCCCCGGAAGGCUGGGAAGUGUGAUACUUAAUUGGAGCACACCCUCUAGUCCCCCUUUUUGAAAAUGGGAACCACCACACCAGUCUGCCACUCCGCAGACACUGUCCGAGACUCCAUGCAACAUUGAAGAGACGUGUCAGCCAACAUUGUCCAGAGCCUUGAGCAUUUCAGGGCGAUUCACAGCCACACCUGGCGCCUUGCCACUUAGGAGCUUUCUAACUGCCUCAGGGACCUUUGCCAAGGUUAGUGGUAAGGCUUCCCCUGGAUCCUCAGACUCUGCCUCCUCUUCAGAGGAUAUGUUGUAUGAGUCCAGGAGUUCCUCAAAGUAUUCCUUCCACCACCCAAAAAUGUCCCCAGUCCGGUUCAGCAGUUUUCGAUCCCUGAUGUUAACAGCCUGAGCCAUCGGACGGUUUGCCAGAACCUCCUUGAGGCCAACCAAAAGUCCUUCUCCAAAGCCUCCCCGAACUCCUCCCACACCUGGAUUUGUGCUUCCACAACCACUGAAGCCACAGCCCUCCGAGCCACCCGAUACCUGUCAUUUGCUUCCAGAGACCCCUGCGCUAACCAAGCCUGAAAGGCCUCCUUCUGCAGCCUUACGACUUCACCACUGGUAUCCACCAGAGAGUUCUUAGGUUGCUGCCACGACAGGCACCGACGGUCUUCUGACCGCAACUCCUAGCAGCCGCUUCCACAAUGGAGGCUUUGAACAUGGACCACUUGAACUCUAUGUCCCCAACCUCCCCCGGGAUAAAAGAGAAGUUCUCCUGGGAGGUGGGAGUUGAAGACCCCACAGACAAGGACCUCUGCCAGACGCUCCCAGUUCACCUGCAAUACACAUUUUGGUUUGCCAGGUUAGCAGCUUUCCCCACUAUCUGAUCCAACUCACCACCAGGUGGUAAUCAGUUUACAGCUCUGCUCCUCUCUUCACCCGAGUGUCCAAAACAUACGGUGAUCAUUGAUCUUUGGAAUAGGGUGUUCUGGUACCAGGUACACUUAUGAACAUCUCUAUGUUCAAACAUGGUGUUUGUAAUGGCCAAUCCAUCAUUAGAACAGCAGACCAACAACAAAAAAACACUCAGUUUCAGUUCGGGCAGGCCAUUCCUCCCAAUCACUCCCUUCCAGGUGUCUCCAUUGUUGAAGUCGCCCAGUAGAACUACAGAAUUCCCAAGUGGAAUCCCUGGCUGGGGGCUUAUGAGUAUCAUCACACCCGCCCGGCGCCUCUCACUCAGGGCAACUCCAGAAAAGGAGAGAGUCCAGCCCCUCUACAGGAGUUUGGUUCCAGAACCGGUGCCAUGCAUUGAGGUGAGCCCAACUAUCUCUAGCUGGUAGCGCGCCACCUCCAGCGCCAGCUCUGUCUCCUUCCCCGCAAGAAAGAUGAAGUUCCCCGUCCCCAGAACUAGUCUGCGCUGCUGGGGAUUAGCAUGCCUAGACAUCCGCCUACGCCUGCCACCUGGUUUGUCAUGCACCAGGUGCACCUACCCCCCAUGUCUCUCACUGCGGGUUGUGGGCCAACAGGGCAUGGAUUUGAAAUCCAAUGUGGUAUUAAUGGAAAAAAAAAUGUGCUUGUGGAUUUUUCAUUGUUGAAAGCAAAUUUUCUAAACAAAAGUCAUCCAAGUGUUAUUAAGUAAUAUUCUAAAUAUGAUUGUAGUAAGGCAAUUACCAUGACAAGUAACCAUAGAUUUGCAAAACUUAUAAAAUCAUAUUUUAACUUGGUCGUUUAUCCUGGAGAUUACUUUUUGGUUCUUGCAUGAAUACAAACUGAACUGUUAACAAAAAGGCUUAAUAUGCAUAAAACCAACCAAUGUGGCAAAAAUAAAACAAUUUCAGAUCAGGUUUUGAGUUCAUUCAACAAAAAAUAUUUUUGCAUUGUGUAAGACCUUUUUUCCAGUUUUCUGUUGAAGUGUCCUUGGAACUGAACUGGUCAGCAGCUUCUGAAUGUGUAUUAAUGGUUAAUAUGGACUACUUUACAUAGCAGUGAGAAUGUCUGUGAAUGGGUGAAUAUGACAUGCAGUAUAAAAAGUACUUUGCAUAGUCAGAAGACCAGAAAAGACUAGAGAUCUAUUGAGGCUAGCAUGGCUAAAAAUAAAGCUGUAACACUCUGAUUUUGUGUAUUUUGGGUGAUCAACUCUUAAGAGUUAAAUAAGCAUCGGUGUUGUUGCCUUUUU